GGGGGAUUAGCUCAGCUGGCUAGAGCGCCUGCCUUGCACGCAGGAAGUCAACGGUUCGAAUCCGUUAUUCUCCA
rnacentral:tRNA from 1 species